rnacentral:rRNA from 1 species
UUGCACGCUGGCGGCAGGCCUAACACAUGCCAGUCGAGCGGAUGAAGGGAGCUUGCUCCUGGAUUCAGCGGCGGACGGGUGAGUAAUGCCUAGGAAUCUGCCUGGUAGUGGGGGAUAACGUCCGGAAACGGGCGCUAAUACCGCAUACGUCCUGAGGGAGAAAGUGGGGGAUCUUCGGACCUCACGCUAUCAGAUGAGCCUAGGUCGGAUUAGCUAGUUGGUGGGGUAAAGGCCUACCAAGGCGACGAUCCGUAACUGGUCUGAGAGGAUGAUCAGUCACACUGGAACUGAGACACGGUCCAGACUCCUACGGGAGGCAGCAGGGGGGAAUAUUGGACAAGGGGCGAAAGCCUGAUCCAGCCAUGCCGCGGGUGUGAAGAAGGUCUGCGGAUUGUAAAGCACUUUAAGUUGGGAGGAAGGGCAGUAAGUUAAUACCUGGCUGUUUGGACGUUACCAACAGAAUAAGCACCGGCGAACUUCGG